rnacentral:misc_RNA from 1 species
UCCGGCUUACACCGGCGGUCUCCUGUGAGUGCCCGACAUUACUCGCUGGUAACACAGAACGAGGGUUGCGCUCGUUGGCGGACUUAACCGUACACCUCACGGCACGAGCUGACGACAGCCAUGCAACAUCUGUUUUCAGGUCGCCCUUGUGGGGCGAGGGACGUAUCUCUACGCCUUUCCUUCAAUGUCAAGAGUGGGUAAGGUUCUUCGGUUAGUAUCGAAUUAAUCCACAUGCUCCACCGCUUGUGCGGGUCCCCGUCAAUUCAUUUGAGUUUCAACCUUGCGGCCGUACUCCCCAGGCGGGAUACUUAAUGCGUUAGCUGCGGCACAGGAGGGGUCGAUACCUCCUACGCCUAGUAUCCAUCGUUUAGGGCGUGGACUAC